rnacentral:misc_RNA from 1 species
GAUGAAGAACGUAGCGAAAUGCGAUACGUAGUGUGAAUUGCAGAAUGCAGUGAAUCAUCGAAUCUUUGAACGCACAUUGCACCUCUCGGUAUUCCGGGAGGUAUGCCUGUUCGAGCGUCAUUUGUACCCUCAAGCUCUGCUUGGUGUUGGGUGUUUGUUCCGCCUCUGUGUGUGAACUCGCCUCAAAACAAUUGGCAGCCGGCGUACUUGUUUCGGAGCGCAGCACAUUUUGCGAUCCAGAUCAACGUACAGCGGCAUCCAAGAAGCCUUAUUUAACGCUCUUGACCUCGGAUCAGGUAGGGAUACCCGCUGAACUUAAGCAUAUCAAUAAGCGGAGGA